GAUGAACGCUAGCUACAGGCUUAACACAUGCAAGUCGAGGGGCAGCAUGACGAUAGCUUGCUAUUGUUGAUGGCGACCGGCGCACGGGUGAGUAACGCGUAUCCAACCUGCCCUUGUCCACCGGAUAACCCGUCGAAAGGCGGACUAACACGGUAUGCAGUCCACAGCAGACAUCUAAUGUGGACGAAAUGUGAAGGAGAAGGAUGGGGAUGCGUCUGAUUAGCUUGUUGGGGGGGUAACGGCCCACCAAGGCGACGAUCGGUAGGGGUUCUGAGAGGAAGGUCCCCCACAUUGGAACUGGGACACGGUCCAAACUCCUACGGGAGGCAGCAGUGAGGAAUAUUGGUCAAUGGGCGAGAGCCUGAACCAGCCAAGUAGCGUGCAGGAAGACGGCCCUAUGGGUUGUAAACUGCUUUUAUACGGGGAUAAAGUGAGUCACGUGUGGCUUAUUGCAGGUACCGUAUGAAUAAGGACCGGCUAAUUCCGUGCCAGCCGCCGCCGUAA
rnacentral:rRNA from 1 species